rnacentral:rRNA from 1 species
GACAGAGGCCUCGAGCGUUAGGCGGAAUCACUGGGCUUAAAGCGUGUGUAGGCGGGCCCGUAAGUGUCUUGUGAAAUCCCACGGCUCAACCGUGGAACUGCUGGGCAUACUGCGGGUCUUGGGCCAACUAGGGGCAGCCGGAACAAGCGGUGGAGCGGUGAAAUGCGUAGAUAUCGGGAGGAACACCGGUGGCGAAGGCGGCAUCCUGGACCGACACUGACGCUGAGGAGCGAAAGCCAGGGGAGCAAACGGG